GAGUUUGAUCGUGGCUCAGAUUGAACGCUGGCGGCAUGCCUUACACAUGCAAGUCGAACGGCAGCACGGGAGCUUGCUCCUGGUGGCGAGUGGCGAACGGGUGAGUAAUGCAUCGGAACGUAUCCUGGAGUGGGGGAUAACGUAGCGAAAGUUACGCUAAUACCGCAUAUUCUGUGAGCAGGAAAGCGGGGGACCUUCGGGCCUCGCGCUCUUGGAGCGGCCGAUGUCGGAUUAGCUAGUUGGUGAGGUAAAGGCUCACCAAGGCGACGAUCCGUAGCAGGUCUGAGAGGAUGAUCUGCCACACUGGAAUUGAGACACGGUCCAGACUCCUACGGAGGCAGCAGUGGGGAAUUUUGGACAAUGGGGGCAACCCUGAUCCAGCCAUGCCGCGUGAGUGAAGAAGGCC
rnacentral:rRNA from 1 species